CCUGAGAAACCCAAAAGAUCGAAUGGGGAGAUUCAUCGUCAGCUCAUUUUGUAUAUAUAUAAGUUAUGAUGCGGGUUACUACUUGUAGUAUUGCUUGCACAUUCUUGUAUAUUUAGUUGCAAGAUGUUGUCGGCGUGCACUUCUCCCCUAGUAGGACGUCGCGACCUGUUGGGUGUCGGUCUACGGCCCAAGUGAUAGCCUUUAAUGUAAUUUAAAAAGCAUUGAAGAUCCUUGGUGUUUUCUGACCGGCUACUUGGCAGUACUCGUACGGUAUUUAGCCGCUAAAUUUAUUAAGCGUCCAUAUCCAUCACAAGCGAGGCUAAUUUACUUGAUAGUACGGACCUAGUGCCGUCGUUGGUAUUGGCCAGCUGUUGGUUGUAUGGUAUUCUAGGACUGGCUAAAAUUAAUUACCGGUCGGCGAUGCUACUGCUUUGGGUACUUUCAGGACCCGUCUUGAAACACGGACCAAGGAGUCUAACAUGUGCGCAAGUCAUUGGGAUUUUUUUUAAAUUAAACCUAAAGGCGCAAUGAAAGUAAAGGUCGACCUUGCGUCAACCG
rnacentral:rRNA from 1 species